CGUGGGUAACCUACCCAUCAGAGGGGGAUAACACUUGGAAACAGGUGCUAAUACCGCAUAACAGUUUAUGCCGCAUGGCAUAAGAGUGAAAGGCGCUUUCGGGUGUCGCUGAUGGAUGGACCCGCGGUGCAUUAGCUAGUUGGUGAGGUAACGGCUCACCAAGGCCACGAUGCAUAGCCGACCUGAGAGGGUGGUCGGCCACACUGGGACUGAGACACGGCCCAG
rnacentral:rRNA from 1 species